GCUUGAAGAUAAUGAUACUGCUACAUCCACAGACUUCUCAAUGCUAGGAAUGUCCAAACUAGCCUCUUCAUUACCAGCCUGGCUUGAAGGUAAUGAUACUGCUACAUCCACGGACUCCUCCAUGCUAGGAAUGUCCAAGCUAGCCUCUUCAUUACCAGCCUGGCUUGAAGGUAACGAUACUGCUACGUUCACAGACUCCUCCAUGCUAAGAAUGUCCAAACUAGCCUCUUCAUUACCAGCCUGGCUUGAAGGUAAUGAUACUGCUAUGUUCACGGACUCCUCCUUGCUAGGAAUGUCCAAACUAGCCUCUUCAUUACCAGCCUGGCUUGAAGGUAACGAUACUGCUACGUCCACAGACACCUCCAUGACAGGAAUGUCCAAACUAGCAUCUUCAUUACCAGCCUGGCUUGGAGGUACCAAUACUGUUA
rnacentral:lncRNA from 1 species